rnacentral:rRNA from 1 species
UACGUAGGUGACCCAGCGUUGUCCGGAUUUACUGGGCGUAAAGAGCGCGCAGGCGGUCGUUCAAGUCGAGUGUGAAAGCCCCCGGCUCAACUGGGGAGGGUCAUUCGAUACUGAUCGACUUGAAGGCAGGAGAGGGGAAGCGGAAAUUCCCGGUGUAGUGGUGAAAUGCGUAGAUAUCGGGAGGAACACCGAUGGCGGCAG